rnacentral:rRNA from 1 species
ACGGAGGGGGCUAGCGUUGUUCGGAAUUACUGGGCGUAAAGCGCGCGUAGGCGGUUUCUCAAGUCAGAGGUGAAAGCCCGGGGCUCAACCCCGGAACUGCCUCUGGUACAGCACGUCUUGAGUCCGGAAGAGGUGGGUGGAAUUCCUAGUGUAGAGGUGAAAUUCGUAGAUAUUAGGAAGAACACCGGUGGCGAAGGCGGCCCACUGGUCCGGUACUGACGCUGAGGUGCGAAAGCGUGGGGAGCAAACAGGA